rnacentral:lncRNA from 1 species
GGGCCAUGCUGUGCUCACCCCAGCGGGUUCUGAUGGAGCCAGGGGGAGGACAUGUGAGUCGUAAGAGUCACAUUGCUUACGUCCAAAACUGGUUCUAACAAUUAUUUAUUUGUGUGACUUUGGACAAGUUGCUUGACCUUUCUAUUUUGUUUGUUUUCUCACUUGCAAAAUGGAGAUAAUAAUAGUCCAUAUUUUGGGGGGUUGCUGUGAGGCAUAAAUGAGACCAUAGGGGCAGAGAAUGGAGAGUAAUGCCUGGCGUAUAGUGGACGUUCAGCAAGUUCUGGUCAUCGCUGUUUGGUGCCAUGACCAGAACUGUGCCAUGACCAGUUCUGGGUGGAGCCACUCCUCUCUUUUUUUGGAGGGAGUUACUGGGGACUGAAUUCAGGGGUACUAGACCACUGAGCCACAUCCCCAGCCCUAUUUUGUACUUUAUUUAGAGGCAGGGUCUCACUGAGUUGCUCAAUACCUUGAUUUUGCUGAGGGUGGCUUUGAACUUGCGAUCUUCCUGCCUUAGCCUCCCAAACUGCUGGGAUUACCCCCUCUCUUUGUUCUUGACCCUGGAGAAUCUGGUGCAUACAUGUGGCUUAGAGGGCUUAAGUGGCUUGCUUGAGGUGCCACAGUCAGCCAGUGUGGGCAGGGCCUUGCCUCUUGCCAAGCUCUAUUCUCUACUGCCCCAUGGUGAAGAGGAAGGCUCUUGACAGAGGUAUCAUGACAGAGGGCAUCAUGACAGAGGUAGCAACCUUGGGUG